GACGAACGCUGGCGGCGUGCCUAAUACAUGCAAGUAGAACGCUGAAGAGAGGAGCUUGCUCUUCUUGGAUGAGUUGCGAACGGGUGAGUAACGCGUAGGUAACCUGCCUGGUAGCGGGGGAUAACUAUUGGAAACGAUAGCUAAUACCGCAUGAAAUUGCUUAUCGCAUGAUAAUUAAUUGAAAGAUGCAAUUGCAUCACUACCAGAUGGACCUGCGUUGUAUUAGCUAGUUGGUGAGGUAACGGCUCACCAAGGCGACGAUACAUAGCCGACCUGAGAGGGUGAUCGGCCACACUGGGACUGAGACACGGCCCAGACUCCUACGGGAGGCAGCAGUAGGGAAUCUUCGGCAAUGGGGGGAACCCUGACCGAGCAACGCCGCGUGAGUGAAGAAGGUUUUCGGAUCGUAAAGCUCUGUUGUAAGAGAAGAACGGGUGUGAGAGUGGAAAGUUCACACUGUGACGGUAUCGUACCAGAAAGGGACGGCUAACUACGUGCCAGCAGCCGCGGUAAUACGUAGGUCCCGAGCGUUGUCCGGAUUUAUUGGGCGUAAAGCGAGCGCAGGCGGUUAGAUAAGUCUGAAGUUAAAGGCUGUGGCUUAACCAUAGUAUGCUUUGGAAACUGUUUAACUUGAGUGCAGAAGGGGAGAGUGGAAUUCCAUGUGUAGCGGUGAAAUGCGUAGAUAUAUGGAGGAACACCGGUGGCGAAAGCGGCUCUCUGGUCUGUAACUGACGCUGAGGCUCGAAAGCGUGGGGAGCAAACAGG
rnacentral:rRNA from 1 species